rnacentral:rRNA from 1 species
UAAUCGGGGUUGCGGACAGUGUCUGGUGGGUAGUUUGACUGGGGCGGUCUCCUCCUAAAGAGUAACGGAGGAGCACGAAGGUUGGCUAAUCCUGGUCGGACAUCAGGAGGUUAGUGCAAUGGCAUAAGCCAGCUUGACUGCGAGCGUGACGGCGCGAGCAGGUGCGAAAGCAGGUCAUAGUGAUCCGGUGGUUCUGAAUGGAAGGGCCAUCGCUCAACGGAUAAAAGGUACUCCGGGGAUAACAGGCUGAUACCGCCCAAGAGUUCAUAUCGACGGCGGUGUUUGGCACCUCGAUGUCGGCUCAUCACAUCCUGGGGCUGAAGUAGGUCCCAAGGGUAUGGCUGUUCGCCAUUUAAAGUGGUACGCGAGCUGGGUUUAGAACGUCGUGAGACAGUUCGGUCCCUAUCUGCCGUGGGCGCUGGAGAACUGAGGGGGGCUGCUCCUAGUACGAGAGGACCGGAGUGGACGCAUCACUGGUGUUC